UUUAAACGAAAACAUUGAUAACAAAUCGAUAUUUAUUAUUAUUUUUUUUCUUUUUUUUUUUUUUUUUUUGAAAGUAAUUCUUUAAUCCUUUUAACUUUGCGAAUAAAUUUUUGAAAACUUUCAUUCGACUAACACUUGAGAAUUUUCGAUGGAGUCUUCCUGACGAGUACCGACGACGAUUCGUUCAUUCGAUAUGGUUCAUUGAACUUUAGCCACCAGGUUUGGCAAGUUUCGAAUGGCCGAGGUAUGGUGCCAGUGGGGGGGUGGUGGUGAGGGGAAGGUGAGGGAAAGGAAGCCGAGACGAGAAGGAUUUUGCCGAGUGUCGAAAGAUCGACACCGAUUCUCGCACGUUUAAGCGACAUCCUGUGGAGAGAGAGACAGAAAGAGAGAGACAGACACACACACACACACACACACACAAAGACAGAAAGUGAGAGAGCAAGGUCCAACUUCGUUAGUUUCUCAUGGUGAACUUUCAGGGGUCAAUUCGCGUUAAAUAACAUAGAGAACUGUCUUCGAUGUUAACGACUUGCAUCCUUCUCGUAAAAUAAGUAAUUCAAGUUGUGACCAUACGUUGCAGAUUACAUAUAUAGAAGAUGAAACCACGGUAGUACUUUCAUUCUCAUAUGCACUUUACUUUUGGACAAUGUUAUCAUUAGGAAUACAUAUAUCUUUACAUACAUAAGUAAUUAUACAUGCAUCUAUGUAUAUAUAUGUAUGUAUAUAAAUAUGUAAAUAUACUCAUAUAUAUAUAUAUAUAUAUAUGUGUAUAUGUAAAGGAAUAUUUUACGAGAAAUUCGUUCACGUAUCCUUUUAUUCAUUUUUUUAGAUUCGUUCGAUUAUAUUAACUUCGUUCAUAUUACGUACGUAUUUAUAUUUUUUUGCGCGUUUCUUCAAAUCAAAUACGUGAUACUGAUCAAAAAAAUAUUUAUUAAUAUACGAUAUAUAUAUAUAUAUAUUAAGACUAAUGUUCGUACGAAAAUGAUUUUGCCUUAAGAUCAGAUCGAUAAUAAUACAUAUACAAAAUCCAUUGAGAAUAUAUACAUUUGAACGAAUGAAAUCAGAUGGAAAAAAUUAAGUUAUGUGUAUUUUUCAUUCAUAAUAUAAUAUCCUUCAAAUUGAUCUGUUUUGUGGAUCGUAGUAUUUACGAUAUAUGUAUACGUACAUACAUACGUACAUAUCGAUUAUGACGAUUUAUCUCGUUAAACGAGAGUAGUAUCUUUAUAUCUUUCACUCUAGAGGACAUAUAAACACAUUAGCACGAUUUCCGAGAAAGAGAGAGAAAGAGACAGAAAGAGAGAGAGAGAGAAAUAGAGAAACAGAUAAUGUGUAAACACAGGAUGAUACACGGGUUACUCACGAAAACAGAAAAGUUAGUCUCUCUCAAAGAGUUCCUUCGUGUGGAUGUUGGCAGUCAUACUGUGGUCUUUACUUAACUAAUGUAUCUGCAUUGUGUUACUUAUUUUUAAAGUGUGCGAAAGAAUAAACGUGAGAAGAAAUAAAGAAGUCGACAUUGGAAGGGAAAAUUUUUAUCAUCGAGCUAAACUCCAGAGUUGUAUUAUUUAAGAGGCAACAAAUUGACUUUACAAAUUAGUCCUAGAAUUUAUUAGCCGAGGCACCUAGAUAAGAUAGUAGUAACGUAACCGUUCUCUCGGAAUGGUGUUGGAGGGUAACAAGAGUGAGGAGAUUGGAAGGAGGGGUUGAAAUUUACCAAGCGGACGAGGAUGAGAACGAUGAGGACGAAGGAUGACGCGAUGAGGACGAGGACGACAACGUCGACAAGAGCUUACCUACCUACGCGCUUAAGGCAUUAACUUUGUUGUUUCGAGAGGCACCAACCAAGAAGAGAAGGUAAAGCAAGAGAAUGAGUUGAGAGGAAGGGGUGGAGAGGUGGAGGGAGGAGGAGAGAGUUAAGAUGGUGGGUCACGUUUAUUACAGAAUCCACGUUCUACCUACUCCAGGGCAAACACUUGUCCUUCACGGCUUAAGCUAAAGAAACCAGGAAACCAUAUUUUGAACACAUGUACUUUAUUAUUCGGUACCCAAUGGAAAAAUUGUUCGAACGAGAAAAAUCCAUUUGAUUAUUUUCAAAAGGAUAUAUUGCAUUGGAUAAUC